GGGCCUGUAGACCAGCGGUAGAUCGCUUCCUUGGCAUGGAUUUUAACUCAAAUCGAGUUAAAAGAGCAAAAGAGGCCGAGGGUUCAAUUCCCUCCAGGUCCA
rnacentral:tRNA from 1 species